rnacentral:ribozyme from 1 species
UGCCCAGCAACUCCUAUUCCUACCUCCUCGCGGUACUGGCCGGGGUACGAGUAACCUUAGGGAAGAUCGGGUAACCAAACCUCGGUGGGAACUUUGGUAGUAUGCUGACAGGGAAGG